rnacentral:rRNA from 1 species
UUCCGGUUGAUCCUGCCGGACCUGACUGCUAUUGGAGUAGGACUAAGUCACGCUAGUCAAAGGUGCAGAAUGGAGCACCUGGCGUACGGCUCAGUAACACGUAGUCAACCUACCCUAAGGACGAUGACAACCACGGGAAACUGUGGAUAAUCUUCGAUAGGAAAUUUGGCCUGGAACGGUAUCUUUCCUAAAACCGGCUCGCCGUGAGACACGGGCCUUAGGAUGGGGCUGCGGCCGAUUAUGCUUGAUGGCGGUGUAAAGGACCACCAUGGCGACGAUCGGUAUGGGCAAUGGAAGUUGGAGCCCAGAGUCGCUAACUGAGACAAGGUAGCGAGCCUUACGAGGCUUAGCGGUCGCGAAAACUCGCCAAUGCACGAAAGUGUGAGUGGGCUACUCCAAGUGUCAUUCUUACGGAUGACUGUCGCUCAGUAUUACAAGCUGAGAAAGGAAGGAGAGGGCAAGGCUGGUGCCAGCCGCCGCGGUAAAACCAGCUCUUCGAGUGGUCAGGACGAAUAUUGGGUCUAAAGCGCUCGUAGCCGGACAUGUAGGUUCCUGGUUAAAUCCGACAGCAUAACUGUCGACCUGCUGGGAAUACCGCAAGUCUUGGGAGCGGGAGAGGAUAGAGGUAGUCAUAGGGCAGGGGUGAAAUCCAGUGAUCCUAUGGCGACCACCGAUGGCGAAGGCAUCUAUCUGGAACGUCUCCGACGGUGUGGGGCGAAAGCUAGGGGAGCGACCCGGAUUAGAUACCCGGUUAGUCCUAGCCGUAAACGAUGCCGACUAGGUGUUGCGACGGGCCAAGAGCCGUUGCGGUGCCACAGCGAAAGCGUUAAGUCGGCCACCUGGGCGAGUACGGUCGCAGACUGAAACUUAAUGAAUCUGACUUGCUGGCGCCCACCAGAAUUGAAGCUUGCGUUUAAUUGGAUUCAACGUCGGGAAUCACUAGUUGCGGCGCCUGCAGGUCGACCAUAUGGGAGAGCUCCACGCGUUUGGAUGCCUAGCUUGAGUAUUUCUAAUAGGUCACCUAAUAGCUUGGCGUAAUCAUGUCUAGCUGUUUUCCUUGUGGGAAUUGUAUCCGCUCCAUUCACACACACUCCGACCGGAGCCUAAAUUAAGGCUGGGGUCUUAUGGAGGAACUAAUCUCAUAUUGCUUAGGCCCUCUAUGCGUCAGUCGGAACUGUUCUGGUCACUGCUUAUG